rnacentral:tRNA from 1 species
GCAGACGUGGCCGAGUGGUUAAGGCGUCAGGCUGCUAACUUGAUGGGUGUACCCGCGCGCGUUCGAAUCGCGUCGUCUGCG